rnacentral:rRNA from 1 species
GUGAGGAAUUUUCCGCAAUGGGCGAAAGCCUGACGGAGCAAUGCCGCGUGAAGGAUGAAGGCCUAUGGGUUGUAAACUUCUUUUCUCAGAAAAGAAUUAUGACGGUAUCUGAGGAAUAAGCAUCGGCUAACUCUGUGCCAGCAGCCGCGGUAAGACAGAGGAUGCAAGCGUUAUCCGGAAUGAUUGGGCGUAAAGCGUCUGUAGGUUGUUUAAAAAGUAUUCUGUCAAAGAUUAGGGCUUAACCCUAGAUAGGCAGAAUAAACUUUUAAGCUAGAGUGUGGUAGGGGGAGAGGGAAUUCCCGGUGGAGCUGUGAAAUGCGUAAAUAUCGGGAGGAACACCAAAGGCGAAGGCACUCUGCUGGGCCAAUACUAACACUGAGAGACGAAAGCGAGGGGAGCAAAUGGGAUUAGAAACCCCGGUAGUCC